AUUAAACUGAAGAGUUUGAUCAUGGCUCAGAUUGAACGCUGGCGGUAUGCUUAACACAUGCAAGUCGAACGGAAACGAUGGAAGCUUGCUUCCAGGCGUCGAGUGGCGGACGGGUGAGUAACGCGUAGGAAUCUACCCAGUAGCGGGGGGCAACCCGGGGAAACCCAGGCUAAUACCGCAUAAUCCCUACGGGGCAAAGGGGGCCUCUUCUUGAAAGCUCUCACUAUUGGAUGAGCCUGCGUGAGAUUAGCUAGUUGGUAGGGUAAAGGCCUACCAAGGCGACGAUCUCUAGCUGGUCUGAGAGGACGAUCAGCCACACUGGGACUGAGACACGGCCCAGACUCCUACGGGAGGCAGCAGUGGGGAAUAUUGGACAAUGGGGGCAACCCUGAUCCAGCAAUGCCGCGUGU
rnacentral:rRNA from 1 species